GACGAACGCUGGCGGCGCGCCUAACACAUGCAAGUCGAACGGAGUCAAGAGGAGCUUGCUUUUCUUGACUUAGUGGCGAACGGGUGAGUAACGCGUGAGUAACCUGCCCUGGAGUGGGGGACAACAGUUGGAAACGACUGCUAAUACCGCAUAAGCCCACGGAUCUGCAUGGAUCUGCGGGAAAAGGAUUUAUUCGCUCUAGGAUGGACUCGCGUCCAAUUAGCUAGUUGGUGAGGUAACGGCCCACCAAGGCGACGAUUGGUAGCCGGACUGAGAGGUUGAACGGCCACAUUGGGACUGAGACACGGCCCAGACUCCUACGGGAGGCAGCAGUGGGGGAUAUUGCACAAUGGGGGAAACCCUGAUGCAGCGACGCCGCGUGGAGGAAGAAGGUUUUCGGAUUGUAAACUCCUGUCAUUAGGGACGAUAAUGACGGUACCUAACAAGAAAGCACCAGCUAACUACGUG
rnacentral:rRNA from 1 species